GCUUUUGUACACACCGCCCGUCGCUACUACCGAUUGAAUGAUUUAGUGAGGUCUUCGGACUGGUACGCGGCAUCGACUCUGUCGUUGCCGAUGCUACCGGAAAGAUGACCAAACUUGAUCAUUUAGAGGAAGUAAAAGUCGUAACAAGGUUUCCGUAGGUGAACCCGCGGAAGGAUCAUUA
rnacentral:rRNA from 2 species